rnacentral:rRNA from 1 species
GACGAACGCUGGCGGCGUGCCUAAUACAUGCAAGUCGAGCGCAGGAAAUCGACGGAACCCUUCGGGGGGAAGUCGACGGAAUGAGCGGCGGACGGGUGAGUAACACGUAAAGAACCUGCCCUCAGGUCUGGGAUAACCACGAGAAAUCGGGGCUAAUACCGGAUGGGUCAUCGGACCGCAUGGUCCGAGGAUGACAGGCGCCUCGGCGUCGCCUGGGGAUGGCUUUGCGGUGCAUUAGCUAGUUGGUGGGGUAAUGGACCACCAAGGCGACGAUGCAUAGCCGACCUGAGAGGGUGAUCGGCCACACUGGGACUGAGACACGGCCCAGACUCCUACGGGAGGCAGCAGUAGGGAAUCUGCCAAAAUGGACGAAAGUCUGAUGGAGCAACGCCGCGUGAACGAUGAAGGCCUUCGGGUCGUAAAGUUCUGUUGUAAGGGAAGAACAAGUGCCGCAGGCAAUGGCGGCACCUUGACGGUACCUUGCGAGAAAGCCACGGCUAACUACGUGCCAGCAGCCGCGGUAA